rnacentral:lncRNA from 1 species
UAGAAGCUUCGGUUCUACUGUGAUGACUUCAUAUUGUAAUGCUUGGAUGUUCUAUGGAUUCUUCCAGAACAGAAAUGUUAUCAACAGUCUUUCUCUCGGCUGUGAAUCCUGUGUUCUAUCCUGACUAGUCAAGGAACUGAAAUGCCCUCCAAAGAUGUUAUUCUGUGCUACUCAUUAUUAUUUUGUCUGCUAUGUAGAGAUGCCAAGUG